UGGGUUUAAAGGGUGCGCAGGCGGAUUUUUAAGUCAGCGGUCAAAUCGUGGGGCUCAACCCCGGCGAGCCGUUGAAACUGUCGGACUAGAGACGGCGAGAAGUACGCGGAAUGCGCGGUGUAGCGGUGAAAUGCAUAGAUAUCGCGCAGAACUCCGAUUGCGAAGGCAGCGUACCGGCGCCGGACUGACGCUGAGGCACGAAAGCGUGGGUAUCGAA
rnacentral:rRNA from 1 species